rnacentral:SRP_RNA from 1 species
GCCAGGCGUGGUGGCGGGCGCCUGUAAUCCCAGCUACUCAGGAGGCUGAGGCAGGAGAAUCGCUUGAAUCCAGGAGGUGGAGGUUGCAGUGAGCCGAGAUCGUGCCAUUGCACUCCAGCCUGGGUGACAGAGCGAGACUCCGUCUCAA